rnacentral:tRNA from 1 species
UCCCUGGUGUCCAGUGGUUAAUACUCUGCACUCCCAAUGCAGAGGACCCAGAUUCAAUCCCUGGUCAAGGAA